UACGUAGGGUGCAAGCGUUAAUCGGAAUUACUGGGCGUAAAGCGUGCGCAGGCGGCUUUGCAAGACAGAUGUGAAAUCCCCGGGCUUAACCUGGGAACUGCAUUUGUGACUGCAUGGCUGGAGUGCGGCAGAGGGGAUGGAAUUCCGCGUGUAGCAGUGAAAUGCGUAGAUAUGCGGAGGAACACCGAUGGCGAAGGCAAACCCCUGGCCUGCACUGACGCUCAUGCACGAAGCGUGGGAGCAAACAGG
rnacentral:rRNA from 1 species